UACGUAGAAGACUAGUGUUAUUCAUCUUUAUUAGGUUUAAAGGGUACCUAGACUGUAAUAUUAGCCCAAAAAAGGGUACAAUGUUACUAGAGUUUUAUAUGAAAAGGAGGAACUUAUGGAACAGAGAUCAUAUUUGUUUAUUUUAUAAGGACGGACAAAGGCGAAAGCUACCUUUUAUCUAAAAACUGACGUUGAGGGACGAAGGCCAGGGGAGCGAAUAGG
rnacentral:rRNA from 1 species